GGCGUGCGUUCUCCGCGCGCUUUUUUUCCACACUGUCCCUAUGGCGGGUCCCGGCGCCCUGACUGAGCCUGCGGUCGCCGCGUCAUAGAAGGGAAUGUUAGAAUUCUGAGUGACAAGUGGAAACGUAGCUGCUCUGCAGCCACUCGUGUGGGUUGAGUCGCAGCUCGGCUAGUUGUCUCAUCUAAAAUGAAGACAGUUCGUUCGUUUCUUUCAGGGUUCUUGUAGAAAACGAGAAUUAUAAACCCCCUUUUCUGUAACCUUAGCCACUAAACAUAGCCAAAGUCAGAGGUUACAAAGCGUCGGUUAACACUUCAAAUAGGAAACGGUGAGAGAACGGAAGACUGUUGACCGAGGCUGAAAACCCAAAGAUGCACCCUUCACCCUUCUUGUUCAAGGUUGUCCCGAAUGGACUAAAUCAAUGAAAAUCACAGCUUUUAUUGAGGAAGCCCUCUCUGCAUAACUGCUCUCUCCUCUCAACCUUUUGGACUUAGAGGUGGUCACAAUAGAGCUAGGAUGAAUAAGAAUCCCAGUCAAAGAGGGAGAGAGAUGGCUUCCAAACAGGAGGCAGGACACCAUGUGUGCCACACAGAAGUAAGUACAUCAGUCCUGCUAAGGGCAGCCACUUAUGAUAUCUGAGAAUGGGAUUACCCAACUCUAAGUGGCCAUUUGAGAAAUCUGUGUCUCAUCAGGUGACCCAGCUGCCUCCCACUCUUUGUGUCUCAAUCUAAACACUGAGUGACCACUGACAUGCUCCAA